CUUGAACGCUGGCGGCAGGCCUAACACAUGCAAGUCGCACGAGUGGCGGACGGGUGAGUCAUGUCUGGGAAACUGCCUGAUGGAGGGGGAUAACUACUGGAACCGGUAGCUAAUACCGCAUACACUCGGAUGUGCCCAGAUGGGAUUAGCUAGUAGGUGGGGUAAAGGCUCACCUAGGCGACGAUCCCUAGCUGGUCUGAGAGGAUGACCAGCCACACUGGAACUGUUACACGGUCCAGACUCCUACGGGAGGCAGCAGUGGGGAAGAUGGCACAAUGGGCGCAAGCCUGAUGCAGCCAUGCCGCGUGUAUGAAGAAGGCCUUCGGGUUGUAAAUUACUUUCAGCGGGGAGGCGUUACCCGCAGAAGAAGCACCGGCUAACUCCGUGCCAGCGGCAGCGGUAAUAC
rnacentral:rRNA from 1 species